rnacentral:tRNA from 1 species
AUCAGUUUUAGUAUAAAAUAUUACAGGGGCCUUGUAAGUCCCAAAUUUGCCGAAGCAAAGACUGAUGC